rnacentral:rRNA from 1 species
UGGGGAUAUUGCACAAUGGGGGGAAACCCUGAUGCAGCGACGCCGCGUGAGUGAAGAAGUAUUUCGGUAUGUAAAGCUCUAUCAGCAGGAAAGAUAAUGACAGUACCUGACUAAGAAGCCCCGGCUAACUACGUGCCAGCAGCCGCGGUAAUACGUAGGGGGCAAGCGUUAUCCGGAUUUACUGGGUGUAAAGGGAGCGUAGACGGAACGGCAAGUUUGAAGUGAAAUACCCGGGCUUAACUCGGGAACUGCUUUGAAAACUGUCGAUCUAGAGUGUCGGAGAGGUAAGUGGAAUUCCUGGUGUAGUAGUGAAAUGCGUAGAUAUCAGGAAGAACACCGGAGGCGAAGGCGGCUUACUGGACGAUAACUGACGUUGAGGCUCGAAAGCGU